rnacentral:rRNA from 1 species
GAUGAACGCUGGCGGCGUGCUUAACACAUGCAAGUCGAACGGUGAACACGGAGCUUGCUCUGUGGGAUCAGUGGCGAACGGGUGAGUAACACGUGAGCAACCUGCCCCUGACUCUGGGAUAAGCGCUGGAAACGGCGUCUAAUACUGGAUAUGUGACGUGACCGCAUGGUCUGCGUUUGGAAAGAUUUUUCGGUUGGGGAUGGGCUCGCGGCCUAUCAGCUUGUUGGUGAGGUAAUGGCUCACCAAGGCGUCGACGGGUAGCCGGCCUGAGAGGGUGACCGGCCACACUGGGACUGAGACACGGCCCAGACUCCUACGGGAGGCAGCAGUGGGGAAUAUUGCACAAUGGGCGCAAGCCUGAUGCAGCAACGCCGCGUGAGGGAUGACGGCCUUCGGGUUGUAUACCUCUUUUAGCAGGGAAGAAGCGAAAGUGACGGUACCUGCAGAAAAAGCGCCGGCUAACUACGUG